CCAUCUUGGAAGCUGAGACGGGACUCUCACCAGACACAGAGACUGCCAAUGCCUUGAUCUUGAACAUUCCAGCAUCCAGAACGGAUUCCCAGAGAGAAGGAAAGGGUGUCUUCACUAGGCUUCAUGGUAGCAAGCACAAUCACUGCAUAAGAAGUGCAGGGACAGCAGAGUGACCCUUCUGUGAACACAUCCAAUGACUGGAGUCCGGAGGCCUAUGGGCUGGAAGUGAGUGUGCCAACAACCAGAGCCCUGGGUAAGAAGGGAACUGCAUCGCAAGGAGGCCCAAUUAAACUGCAAUUACUCAAGAUAAGAAAACGAGGUCUGUUUACACAAUGGGGUUGUAAACCACCGGCUGUGACAAGAGAACUUUGAUCUGGUGGCAAGGGAGCUGUUUCUCAUGCAGGGCAGUGAUGAAACAAGGAGGUUUCCCAAUGAGGAUGUCUCCAUCUUCACCCCAGUAGCCCCAUCUUCUUCUGGUAGCACCCUUGCAUGGACAAGCGGAAAUCCUCACCCCUUCCCAGCCCCAGUAUCCACCUAACACAAUCAAAAAGUGAAGAAUAGAAAGAGAUGAGAUAGUGACUAAAAGGAAAAGAGAAUUGAUGGAGGUCAUCUUUGUGGAGGCGCUUGACAAGCAUGUUCUCACUGAACCGUCACAGUGACC
rnacentral:lncRNA from 1 species